rnacentral:rRNA from 1 species
UACAGAGGGGGCAAGCGUUGUUCGGAAUUACUGGGCGUAAAGGGCGCGUAGGCGGCCUGUUAAGUCGAACGUGAAAUCCCCGGGCUCAACCCGGGAACUGCGUCCGAUACUGACAGGCUUGAAUCCGGGAGAGGGAUGCGGAAUUCCAGGUGUAGCGGUGAAAUGCGUAGAUAUCGGGAGGAACACCAGUGGCGAAGGCGACUUCCUGGCCUGUUCUUGACGCUGAGGCGCGAAAGCUAGGGUAGCAAACGGG